GGCCUUCACAUAACUCCACCCCAUUGGAGGGGCUUGUUCCUGAAGUGAGGCAUGAUGUCACCACUCUGAGCAUUGAUAUCCUGAAGGGGGAAGGAGGCUGCAGAGCAUGAGGUCACUGGGGGGGGGGCAAAAAUGUGAUGUCCUAGGGCAGCAAUGGCACCUGCUCCUUGCAGUGGGCUAGCAGAGGGGAUGUGAUGUCACAGCACCUGAAGAUGACAUCACCGGGGGGGGGGUGCACGAUGAUGACAACCUUGCCAGCAAUGACCUCCUCAUUCCAGGGUGUGAUGUGGGACCAGGCCCAGCAGUGAUGUCACGCAGAAGGCUGGUGCUGGUGGGGCCGGCAUCGGUGCGGCUGGGCGCGGAGGCGGCCGUGGUGCUGCAGGCCGAGGGGGCGCCGGGUGGCCUGGCCGGGACGCUGCAGCUGCUCAACGAGAAGGACACGCGACUGCCCUGCUCCGCCGAGCUGCCCUUCGCGCUGGGGCCGGGGGCCCACUCCGUGCAGCGCCUCGUGCUCUAGGUACAGGCCCACCUGCCCUGCCCUGGGAGCCCCAGCCACCUUCUUGAUAAAAGCAAAUCUUAUUUUUUAUCUUCAUGAAAAGCUCUAGCAAUGUUUUGCAGACAACUCUACCAGCAGCUCCCUCCACUCCCAGCUGGUCUCCACCAGCUCUGAAUCACAAAACAACACGAGCUCUAGUGUUUCUGUUUCCAGUAGCUGUUCCCUUGAAGAGACCAUGUACUAUUCCCACAUCACCCCUUUUUAAACAUCUAGGUUUCUAACUAUAACACAACUUUAAUAAAUCAUUUUUUUUUUUUUAUACAGAAACGAC